AAGCCCCUCUCUCUCUCUCUUUCUCUCUCACUCUCACACACACACACACACACGAAAACUCUCUCUCUCUCUCUCUGAUAACUAUCCUCAUCAUUUCACAACAUGACAGCUUGAGGCAUAGGAGGAGGACCAAUUCUGAUGGAAUUCCAAAAGGGCUAUCCUUAAUUCAUUCCCACCCUGCCAUGCAGGAAUCUUUCCAUUAAAUACUAAGAAAAUGUGAAUUGUAUAGAAGGGUUACGGAGAGCUUGAAAAUCUGGAGAAGAACAAUUAUUCAUCCAAGUCAUGUGUUGUCAGUCCUAUUCACGAAUUUUAUCAGAUGUCUGGUUAUCUGAUUGCCCUACACUGCUUUCCACAUCAGCUAAUCCACUACUGUCCUUCAUUGAUUCAAUUUCCAUGCUUGCUGUUCGGCUUCUCCUGUUCCUUCGAUCCUGUAGAAACAUUAUUACUUUGAAUUAGUUUUGCUUAAACUAACAAAGUUCUCAUGAGCCUCCCACGAGGCUAGCACUAUCCAAGAUGCUUGAUAGAUCAUGUUCUUAUUCAAGAAACAACAAGAAUGGUUCAAUCAGGAGAAAAUAUGCAUUUUUAACAGAAAUCCUUGUUUAGAGUCUUGUUUCAAGAACAAUUACAAUGGGAACCUUUUCAGAAGUCCUCGACAUCUGCUGAUGCAGAUUGAAUCAUGCACAAUUUACGAACUCUACACAUAUAGACAUCGAUAGAUGCUAUUUGUGUUCCUUAAUAGACUGUAGCCUUUACUCAAAGUCUUAAAAAAGGCCAAAGGCAACCAUAAGCAUGGUCUAGGCUUGCAGGAUAAGUAUGCCUGGCCAAACUACAAUGCUUAUGCGAAACACUUUUAAUACCAAAAUCUACAGGUUAUUCUCAAUAUCAAUUUUCUAGCAAGUGGAGACUUUUUGUAUCUGCACUGACAUGUAGGUUAGGCACUGGUCUCUUUUCAUUACUCAGAAGCAACAAUAAGAGAGGAGUCCAAGAGCUUUUAACUAUGACCCUCUGUUCUGUUCAAAAAAGACAAUUCAGUCUUCAACUGACAUGUAGAUUAGGCACUGGUCUCUUUUCAUUACUCAGAAGCAACAAUAAGAGAGGAGUCCAAGAGCUUUUAACUACGACCCUCUGUUCUGUUCAAAAAAGACAAUUCAGUCUUCUUCAAAUACCAUAUACAUGCAUUGCAUGGAAGCUCUGACUAACUGAAUUAUUAGCAUUUUUCAACUGGAGAAUUCAGAACUUGGACAAACACUAAACAUCCAAUAGACGACAACCCAUAUAGACAAGUGAACAUUUUAAUAACACAUUCAAAAAUUGGAAUUGGAAAAGCACCUCACGGUAUGGAAAUUCAUCUGCCUCGAGCAUUCGCACAACUUGGCUCAUCCUGGGUCGCUUCUCUGCAUCAGGAUCAACAGAUCUGAGUGCCACCAAAAGUGCACGCUUUAAGGCACGAGUUGCUGGCUUUACUUCAAGGUCAGGAUCCACAACUUCUUCAGCUCUUCUAUGUCCUACCAUCAUUUUCAGCCACUCAACAAGAUUCACCUGGCACAGGAACAAAUCUCCAGGUUAGCCAAGCCUGAAGCCCAUGUCCACUAAUGCCCCAAAUCCACAGUAAAUGGAAAGACAGAAAAGAAUUCACAGACUGCACCAACACUAUCACAAUCAAUAUAGUUUAUAAGGAUUCCAUACCUCGUUAGCAGGACGGGCAUAGUCAACUGGAUCUCUUCCUGUGACUGCUUCCAGUAGUAGAACUCCAAAACUAUAUAUAUCACUUUUUUCAUUUAACAAACCACUGUUUGCAUAUUCUGGAGCCACAUAGCUGAAAUUAACAACACAAAAUGUUUAAGCAUAAAGAAUUCUUCGUAUAAUUCACAUUGGAUAAUAUGGAGGAAAAGGAUAGAUGGCUGAAAAUAAAGAACCAGAAGGAUUUAGUUAAAAACUGGCUUACCCAAAUGUUCCCAUUACUCUUGUCGUUAUGUGGCUUUCUCCUGAGCCCAAGAGCUUUGCCAAUCCAAAAUCAGAAACCUUGGCAUUGAAUUCAUCAUCGAUCAAAAUAUUACUAGAUUUUAUAUCUCGAUGGACAACCUUAGGUUCUAUAGCUUCAUGCAGGUAAGCAAGCCUGCAAAACAAUGUGACACAAUGUUCUGGAUCAAAGCAAUGGAGACACAAUAUAUGAAGAUUUAAUUAUACAAUAAGCGCUUAGUACAAACUACAAGGUUUCACUUAGUAAGCAACAUAUUAGAAACAGAUUGCACAAGUGCUACAUUUCAAAAAAGAAGAAUGGAAAAAUCAGGGAAACAGUGCUAUAAGAAGAUGGAUGGACAAGAAUUGCAUCACAUUUUACCGGUGGAUUAUGCUUAAUCAAACCUGCAAGAGGUUCAAAAAAAAAAAAGCAAAUAUGAAACAUAGUGCAUCAGAUUUAAUGCAUGGCAGACUUACGCUUUUGCAGUACCAAGAAGCACUUUCAUGCGUGCAUCCCAUGUGAGUGUCCCAUGUUGUUUCAUAGUACCAUGAAGCCAUUGUUCUAAGUUGCCAUUAUUAACAUACUCGUACACCAACAUCCUGAAUUAACAAAAAAAAGGAUAAUCUCAGUUAAUGGAGAUGUAUCUCAUUAGACUGAAAUUCAAGACUCAAUAAGUCAAUAAACAUAAUCAUAAUUCUAAUUUUCUUUUUCUUAUUAUUAACUAAAUUAGUGGAUCAAGGAUGAAGCUCAAAACCAAGACCCCAGCCCUGCCUUGUUUAGAGUGCUCCAACCAACAAAGCUAGGCCUUGGCUCAAACUUGAAGUUCCUUUACUACUACUGCAAUUUGCAGAAUCAUUCAAGAACUAUUUUACAGUAAGUAUAGAAAUGAAACUGCUGACUUGAAACUACAGGUGGAAAAAGAAGAUUCUUACCUCUGAACCCCUUCUAUGCAAUAGCCCAGGAGCCGCACAAGAUUCUUGUGCCGAACAUGCCCAAUGGCCUCUACUUCGACCCUGAAUUCUUUUUCAGCUUGGCCACUGAAAUUAGUUCAGAAUUCAACCAUGAAUAAGUUAAAAAAACUCCAAAAACACAUAUCGAAGCCAUGAAAAUGAAGUAUUUAUGUACUACUCACAGAUUGUUAAGAAGCUUCUUUACAGCUACCUCUGUCCCAUUGACCAAUCUGCCCCGGUAAACAACCCCAUAGCCACCUUCCCCAAUCACAUUCUCUGCUGAGAAGCGGUUUGUAGCAAUAUCAAGAUCUCUAAGGGUAAACCAGUGACCCCAACCAAGAUGUGAUAUUUCUGGCAAGCCAAUCAGAGGAGAGGCCAUUGGAAGCCCGUAGGGCAAUGAAGACAGUUUUCGAGCAGUACCAGAACUUCCUUCUUCCCCUGAUUGUGAGCUGCAAGCCCUCUCAUGGUGAUACAUUGAGCUACACUGACUGAGAUUAUCGACAUCACUUGAUUUACUCCUCCCCAGAUGCACUAACAUCUUUUCUGAAUUCUUAUCGCUUGACUUGUCAUUCACUGUCAGGUAUACUGUUUCUGGGUGAUCAUGGUAAUCUUGACCUCCUACUCUAUCGACUUUGAUGUCUUUUGAUAUGUUAGGUAUUUGACAAAGUGAAUAUUUGUCGAGGGUUCUUCUUGAUCUCCUCCGGAACAUUACCCAUAUUGAUAAGGUACAAAGUAUCAAAACUAUAAACGCACCAACACAUAAACCAAUCACGACCCAUAAUUUUAAACCCAAAAAUGAUGUCUUCUUGGAUAGCUCAGCAUUCAAACUCUCAGACGACAUGUUCGACAAACUUCUACCAAGCACCAAUAAACAAGUCUUGUCCCCGUAGCUUCACCUGGGGAAUUAAACCAUGCCUCCU
rnacentral:lncRNA from 1 species